AUGAACGCUGGCGGCGUGCCUAAUACAUGCAAGUCGAGCGAACGGACGAGAAGCUUGCUUUUCUGAUGUUAGCGGCGGACGGGUGAGUAACACGUGGAUAACCUACCUAUAAGACUGGGAUAACUUCGGGAAACCGGAGCUAAUAUCGGAUAAUAUUUUGAACCGCAUGGUUCAAAAGUGAAAGACGGUCUUGCUGUCACUUAUAGAUGGAUCCGCGCUGCAUUAGCUAGUUGGUAAGGUAACGGCUUACCAAGGCAACGAUGCAUAGCCGACCUGAGAGGGUGAUCGGCCACACUGGAACUGAGACACGGUCCAGACUCCUACGGGAGGCAGCAGUAGGGAAUCUUCCGCAAUGGGCGAAAGCCUGACGGAGCAACGCCGCGUGAGUGAUGAAGGUCUUCGGAUCGUAAAACUCUGUUAUUAGGGAAGAACAUAUGUGUAAGUAACUGUGCACAUCUUGACGGUACCUAAUCAGAAAGCCACGGCUAACUACGUG
rnacentral:rRNA from 1 species